rnacentral:rRNA from 1 species
UACGGAAGGCAGCAGUGGGGAAUAUUGCACAAUGGGCGCAAGCCUGAUGCAGCCAUGCCGCGUGUAUGAAAAAGGCCUUCGGGUUGUAAAGUACUUUUCAGUCGUGAGGAAGGUGUUAAGGUUAAUAACCUUAGCAAUUGACGUUAGCGACAGAAGAAGCACCGGCUAACUCCGUGCCAGCAGCCGCGGUAAUACGGAGGGUGCGAGCGUUAAUCGGAAUUACUGGGCGUAAAGGGCACGCAGGCGGUUAAUUAAGUUGGAUGUGAAAUCCCCGGGCUUAACCUGGGAAUGGCAUUCAAGACUGGUUAGCUAGAGUCUUGUAGAGGGGGUAGAAUUCCAUGUGUAGCGGUGAAAUGCGUAGAGAUGUGGAGGAAUACCGGUGGCGAAGGCGGCCCCUGGACAAAGACUGACGCUCAUGUGCGAAAGCGUGGGGAGCAAAC